rnacentral:rRNA from 1 species
AGCGAACGCUGGCGGCAGGCUUAACACAUGCAAGUCGAGCGGGCACUUUCGGGUGUCAGCGGCGGACGGGUGAGUAACGCGUGGGAACGUGCCCUCUGGUUCGGAAUAACUCAGGGAAACUUGAGCUAAUACCGGAUACGCCCUUUUGGGGAAAGGCUUGCUGCCGGAGGAUCGGCCCGCGUCUGAUUAGCUAGUCGGUGAGGUAACGGCUCACCAAGGCGACGAUCAGUAGCUGGUCUGAGAGGAUGAUCAGCCACACUGGGACUGAGACACGGCCCAGACUCCUACGGGAGGCAGCAGUGGGGAAUAUUGGACAAUGGGCGCAAGCCUGAUCCAGCCAUGCCGCGUGAGUGAUGAAGGCCUUAGGGUUGUAAAGCUCUUUUAUCCGGGACGAUAAUGACGGUACCGGAGGAAUAAGCCCCGGCUAACUUCGUG